CGCAUGAAUCCAUCUUUUUCUGUGAGAAAGCCGCUUCGCAUUCGUCAAGAAUCUUCGAGAAAAAGAUGGAAAAUCCAGUGAAGAUAUUGGUAAGAAGGCAGUUUGUGGCGGGAAGUUUUGGUUCGGGGUAGGAAUAAUGAAAUGAAGAGAAGAAAAUCGAGAGCAAGAAGGUGAUGGCGAGGUGGACAUGGUAUCGGGUUGGGUGGACACUGGCAUGCUGCUCUGCUUCCCGAUUAAUUUUUUUAAAAAGAAAAUGUUAAAAAAAACGAAAAAUUGUUUUAAAAAUAAAUAUCAUUUUUAUUUUUAUUUUUUGAAAAUAGAAAGACAAAACCCAAGACCAAAACCUUGAGAAGAGUUGAAGCUCAAAGCAGUGAGUAAUGAGAGCUCUUUCACUCUAUCAGAGAAUUUCUUCGCGAUGGAGGACGAUGCCCUACGCUUCUGUCCAUUCCGAAUUCUUCUGUACGGACGGCGGCGCCGGCGACGGACUUUCGAGUCCUAAUGCUUCAAGGAUAAUGAUCUUUGACCGUGACUUCAAACGCAAACAACGUGACCGAGCUGCUUGGGUUGUGGCGCCAAAAUGAUUGUUUUAUAGAUUCUGUAGCUGAAAAUCUCGUAGAUCGCCUGGAGGACUGUAGGAAAGUAUUUCCAUCAGCAUUAUUUUUGGGAGGUUCUUUGGAAGCUGUCAGACGAUUGUCACGUGAUCAUGGUGGCAUCAAAAAGCUAACUAUGAUGGAUAUGUCACAUGACAUGGUGAAAUUGUGUAAAGAUGCUGAGCAAGAUAUGGAUGACAAAUCUGUUGAAACAUCCUUUAUGGUUGGAGAUGAAGAAUUUUUGCCUGUCGAGGAAAGUUGACCUGAUAAUCAGUUGCUUGGGACUCCACUGGACAAAUGACUUCCUGGGGCCAUGAUACAGGUACGCGCUUCUCUGUCUUACUGUAU